UGUUCAUGAGUGCAGUAUAGUUUGACUGACUGAGUCCAAACAGGAGCCUUUAGGAUCAUCAGAUGCAGGAGCAGCAGUCGAAUAGCUUGUGCCCUGGAAAUAGCUCAGGCUCAUUAAGCCAUUUUCUGACCCUGGAGUCUUAGCACACUUGGAGGCAUAUACAACUCCCACCGACUUUCCUGGGAUUGAGCACCGCAAAACAAGGCUGGUGUAUGGCCUGAAGUGUGCAGUCCUUAUCAUUUCCCAUUCUCCUUCCUGGCUGCUGGAGGUCACAUAGUGUGUGAGAAGCUGGAAACCACAGGGGGAGAAUAAGGCAGCUCUGGUGCCUACUAAAGCAGAUUCCAAACCAACACCUGGCAUAUGAAGGCUCCCAUGAGCCAGUGACCCCUUUACCACAGUAUUACUGCUUUCCAGAAGGAAACCACACCCACCGUAAACACCCUCUCUGGCUCCCCCUUGGCCCGCAUGUUGGUAUCAUGAACUUGCUUGAGAAUCAUCCAGGCUUCAUCAUGUUUACCUAUCUGGAAACACCAAGGGAAGAACAUCUCAAGUCAGCCAUUAAAUACUAUGGUCUCCAGUCAUGUGGUUUUAAAAAUGACACAGAGAACCAGCUUUGGAGGCCCAGGUGUAACGGAGCAGUGCCGUGCCACAUCGUGUGUUGAGGAGGGAGAAGCGGAGGGCAGAAGGCUGAACCAUCAAGGUUUAUAUUUGCUGACUGUGCAGUAGUUUUGUGGUAGAAGAAGGAAACCACUCCAUAAUUAUUAUUUGGGAGGUGGGAGUUAGGCAAAGUGUUGUCUCCAGGCUAAGCAGAGGGUAUGUCAGGAGACAUGGUUCUCUUCCCAGCUCUGCUAAUAACUUGCUGUUUAACCUUGGGCAAGUCGAUGUGCCUCAGUUGUUCCAUCUAUAAAAUGGGAAUAAAUAAUACUUACCUACAUCACGGUGGGGUCUGAGGUUUAAUCCGUGUAUGUCAGCUGCUUUGAGAGCCUCAGGUAAAAGGUGCUAUGUACAAUAAGUGCAAGGUGAUAACAAUAAAUAAUUAUAUGCUGUCCCUUCAGCUGUGUGAGUAGUACACUUCCUCUGCUGGUCUGAGAUCCAACCCCCCAUGUAUUUUAUCCUGCGUCUAUUUCUUGCCCUUCACUCCUCUUCCUGCUCAGCUCUACUAUUUAAAUUCCCAAAGGGUACAUGCUUGUGUUUUAAUCAGGUACACAAACCCUUUGAUGGGUUUAUGAAUCUCAGGUGUCUGCAUUUUGCUUGUUGUUCGAUGCGGAUGUCAACAUUAAAAAGUGAUACGAUGAAAGUACUCUGUGAUUAGCACCUUAAUACAGAGAGUCUCUUAAGUUUUAAAUGAAACUGGCAAGCCAACAUGUGGGUAUGUGGCCAGGGGGCUGGGGAGAGGGCAGUGAAGAGACAGCCAGAAACACGCGAAGACCAGGUCUCCUUUGUUAAUUGAUAUUGGAGUACAGUUUU